rnacentral:rRNA from 1 species
UUUUCCGGGUGUGAGNCAUGCCGGAGGUUACUGCUAUCGAGGUUCGACUAAGCCAUGCGAGUCGAAUGUAGCAAUACAUGGCGUACUGCUCAGUAACACGUGGACAACCUACCCUCCGGACGGGUAUAAACCCGGGAAACUGGGUAUAAUCCCCGAUAGAUCUCGGUCGCUGGAAAGCCCCGAGAUCGAAAGCUCCGGCGCCAGAGGAUGGGUCUGCGGCCUAUCAGGUAGUAGUGGGUGUAGCGUACCUACUAGCCUACGACGGGUACGGGUUGUGAGAGCAAGAGCCCGGAGAUGGAUUCUGAGACACGAAUCCAGGCCCUACGGGGUGCAGCAGGCGCGAAAACUUUACAAUGCCGGCAACGGCGAUAAGGGGACCUCGAGUGCCAGGUUACAAAUCUGGCUGUCGUGAUGCCUAAAAAGCAUUGCAUAGCAAGGGCCGGGCAAGACCGGUGCCAGCCGCCGCGGUAACACCGGCGGCUCGAGUGGUAACCGUUAUUAUUGGGUCUAAAGGGUCUGUAGCCGGCCAGAUAAGUCUCUUGAGAAAUCCAGCAGCUCAACUGUUGGGCUUUCAGGAGAUACUGUCUGGCUCGAGGCCGGGAGAGGUGAGAGGUACUUCAGGGGUAGGGGUGAAAUCUUGUAAUCCUUGAAGGACCACCAGUGGCGAAGGCGUCUCACCAGAACGGACCUGACGGCAAGGGACGAAAGCUAGGGGCACGAACCGGAUUAGAUACCCGGGUAGUCCUAGCCGUAAACGAUACUCGCUAGGUGUCGGCCACGGUGCGACCGUUGUCGGUGCCGUAGGGAAGCCGUGAAGCGAGCCACCUGGGGAAGUACGGCCGCAAGGCUGAAACUUAAAGGAAUUGGCGGGGGAGCACCACAACGGGUGGAGCUUGCGGUUUAAU